UUAAACAGCGAAACUGCGGACGGCUCAUUAAAUCAGUUAUCGUUUAUUUGAUAGCACCUACUACAUGGAUAACUGUGGUAAUUCUAGAGCUAAUACAUGCUAAAAAUCCCGACUUCGGAAGGGAUGUAUUUAUUAGAUUAAAAACCAAUGCCCUUCGGGGCUCUCUGGUGAUUCAUAAUAACUGCUCGAAUCGCAUGGCCUUGCGCCGGCGAUGGCUCAUUCAAAUUUCUGCCCUAUCAACUUUCGACGGCUGGGUCUUGGCCAGCCAUGGUGACAACGGGUAACGGAGGGUUAGGGCUCGACCCCGGAGAAGCAGCCUGAGAGACGGCUACUACAUCCAAGGAAGGCAGCAGGCGCGCAAAUUACCCAAUCCCAAUUCGGGGAGGUAGUCACAAUAAAUACUGAUACAGGGCUCUUUUGGGUCUUGUAAUCGGAAUGAGAACAAUUUAAAUCCUUAACGAGGAACAAUUGGAGGGCAAGUCUGGUGCCAGCAGCCGCGGUAAUUCCAGCUCCAAUAGCGUAUAUUAAAGUUGUUGCAGUUAAAAAGCUCGUAGUUGAACCUUGGGCCUGGCUGGCCGGUCGCCUCACCGCGUGCACUGGUCCGGCCGGGCCUUUCCCUCUGGGGAGCCGCAUGCCCUUCACUGGGCGUGUCGGGGAACCAGGACUUUUACUUGAAAAAAUUAGAGUGUUCAAAGCACGCCUAUGCUCGAAUACAUUAGCAUGGAAUAAUAGAAUAGGACGUGUGGUUCUAUUUUGUUGGUUUCUAGGACCGCCGUAAUGAUUAAUAGGGACAGUCGGGGGCGUCAGUAUUCAAUUGUCAGAGGUGAAAUUCUUGGAUUUAUUGAAGACUAACUGCUGCGAAAGCGUUCGCCAAAGGAUGUUUUCAUUAAUCA
rnacentral:rRNA from 1 species